GAUGAACGCUGGCGGCGUGCUUAACACAUGCGAGGCGAACGGAAAGGCCAAAGAGGGCUUGGGUACUCGAGUGGCGAACGGGGGAGUAACACGUGGGUGAUCUGCCCUGGACUGCGGGAGAAGCCGGGGAAACUGGGUCUAAUACCGGAUAGGACCACUUCGUGGAUGUUGUGGUGGAAAGUUUUUUCGGUGUGGGAGUAGGUCGCGGCCUCUCAGCUUGUUGGUGGGGUAAUGGCCUACCAAGGCGUCGACGGGUAGCCGGCCUGAGAGGGUGUACGCGCACCUUUCCCCUGACAGCCUGCCCCGCCUCCGCCUUGACGCAGCAGUGGGUGCUCUUGCACACUGGCCGCCAGCCUGAUGCAGCGCCUCCUCUGUGGGGAUGACGGCCUUCGGGUUGUACACUCCUUUCGCUAGGGACGAAGCGUUUUGUGCCGGUACCUGGCGAAGAAGCACCGGCUAACUACGUG
rnacentral:rRNA from 1 species